rnacentral:rRNA from 1 species
UACCAGCACCCCGAGUGGUCGGGACGAUUAUUGGGCCUAAAGCAUCCGUAGCCGGUUCUACAAGUCUUCCGUUAAAUCCACCUGCUUAACAGAUGGGCUGCGGAGGAUACUAUAGAGCUAGGAGGCGGGAGAGGCAAGCGGUACUUAGUGGGUAGGGGUAAAAUCCGUUGAUCCAUUGAAGACCACCAGUGGCGAAGGCGGCUUGCCAGAACGCACUCGACGGUGAGGGAUGAAAGCUAGGGGAGCAAACAGG